UUGGAGCAAGAAGAGAUGGAUAAGGUUGGUGAAACCAAGGAAACAGAUGCCCACACCUCAAGUGAGAGGUCUAAUUCUCAAGAUCAAUCUAGUGGCAGUUUUGGAUCUGAAGGUGAUGAAGAUGCUACCUCCUUAGACUUAGUUUUGGUGAUGAUGGUCCCCCUGUUUUAACGAUGUAUGUUCUAGAUGUUUGGAUGCUUGGAUGCUUUGAUGUUUUCUGAUGUUUGUG
rnacentral:lncRNA from 1 species